GCUGAGGUAGUGUAGUGGUUAGCACGUAGGAUUUUGAUAAGAACUUCAUAAUUAUUAAAUUCCUGAAUCCCCGGUUCGAACCCGGGCCACAGCU